rnacentral:rRNA from 1 species
GCUUACGGCCACACCGCCUGGUUCACGCCCGAUCUCGUUUGAUCUCGGAAGCUAAGAUAGGUUGGGCCUGGUUAGUACUUGGAUGGGAGACCGCCUAGGAAUACCAGGUGCUGUAAAGC